CCAUAUCUACUAUUCUGCUGCUCAGUUGAUGUCUUAUUAAAAAUGUGUGUUUGUGGCCAAGGAAGUAGGAGGUGGGCUCUCGGUUGUCAGGCAGAGAAGAGAGUGCCGUGUGUGCCCUGGAUCCAUCUCUAAAGCCUGCACACUCAGAUUCUUGGCCCCCAAGGAGGGAGUCGUUUCAUCCUCUUCCCACAUGACAAUCAAAAUCACACCACAGACUCCACUUUUCUCACUUCUCCUACACAAGGGCUCAUGGUUGGGCAUAAGAUAAUGAGGACAGGCUCUGUCACCCACAGCGUGGCAAGAUAAGAUGGAGCAUAGUCAGAAGGAAUUAUUUUAGGGUCCCCUCCCCCAGAAUUUUCACUGGUGACUCAGUUCAUCCUCUCUAUGCCUAAAUAGGUAUCAGAAAUGGAUCCUCAGAUGCCCUAGGUUUUCAUUCCAAAUUGGCUUCUGGAUUCAUUCUUGUACUAAGUAUACUAUUAAAUGUCUCCAUGUUUGUUCCACUGAAGGGAAAGUUCAACUGCAACCCACAUCACCAAAUAAUAAGGGAACAUCAAACUAUGUGGUAUUGCCUGUAAAGCACCACACUCUGCAGCCUGACCUGGAUCAGCCUUCAUGAUCAUUUGUAAAUAUUCCUUCUCAGUAAAUUGAGGUUUACCAGAACAUAGAUGAAAAAAUCUAUUUUUAAAUUAGAUAUUUUCUUUAUUUACAUUUCAAAUGUUACCCCGAACGUUCCCUAUGCCUGCCCCCCUUGCCCUGCUCACCUACCCACCCACUCCCACUUCUUGACCCUGGCAUUCCCAUGUACUGGGGUAUAUAAAGUUUGCAAGACCAAGGAGCCUCUUUUCCCAAUGAUGGCUGAUUAUGCCAUCUUCUGCUACAUAUUCAGCUAGGGACACAAGCUCUGGGGGUACUGGUUAAUUCAUAUUGUUGUUCCGCCUAUAGGGUUGCAGACCCCUUCAUCUCCUUGGGUACUUUCUCUAGCUUCUCCAUUGGGGGCCCUGUGUUCCAUCCAAUAGAUGACUGUGAGCACAAGGGGAUACAAAUUGGGAAGAAAGAAGUCAAAAUAUCACUAUUUGCAGAUGAUAUUAUAGUAUAUAUAAGUGACCCUAAAAAUUCCACCAGAGAACUCCUAAACCUGAUAAACAGCUUCAGAGCAGUAGCUGGAUAUAAAAUUAACUCAAACAAAUCAAUGGCUUUUCUCUACACAAAGGAUAAACGGGCUGAGAAAGAAAUUAGGGAAACAACACCCUUCACAAUAGCCACAGAUAAUAUAAAAUACCUUGGUGUGACUCUAACUAAGGAAGUGAAAGAUCUGUAUGAUAAGAACUUCAAGUCUCUGAAGAAAGAAAUUGAAAAAGAUCUCAGAAGAUGGAAAGAUCUCCCAUGCUCAUGGAUUGUCAGGAAAUCUUUUUUUUUUUUUUAAGUUGUACCUAUUUAGUAGUGAUUAGUUAUAGGACUGUGUCCCAAUGUCUUCUACUACAUAAAGGGCUUUUUAGAUCAGCCAUGAUGCCAGCCUAUGUAUCAUACAGUUCAUAAUGCCUUUACUCUUGCUUCCAAGAAGGUGAUCCUUCAUCUCAAAGAUGUUAAUUGUGUGUUUAAUACCGAAAUUGAAAAAGGUUAAGUAUCAAUAAAGAAAAGAAAAGGUUUAAACUUUGGGCUGGAGAGCUAGCUCAGCAGUUAAGAGUGUUUGCUGCUAUUGCAGAGGAUCCACACCUAAUUCCCAAUGUCCUUAUCACAACUGUCUGUGACUCCAGCUCCAGGGAACCGGAUGUUUCUGGCCUCCCCAUGCAAUAGAAUCAUACGCACAUAGCCAUGCACACACAUAGAGAGAGAGUCAACCGAGGACUAAUGGCAUGGAACUGUAGAAGAGAAAAGAGUGGAGGAGGCAGAGAAGAAGGAAAGGAGCAAGGGGCAAUGGAAGACCUUCUCACUAACAUAAAACCAAAGGUUCCAUGCAAAACAUUUUUUUUCUUUCUGUGCCUCAGUGUACUUUUCUGAUGGAUUGAAAUACAGCUCAGAUCGACUUACCUAGUGGCACAUAGAUCUUUUAGCACUUUGUAACAUGGGUCUUAUUCAUCCAAUAACUACAAAACCACAAGGCUUAUUAGCACAAACUCCUCCAACAAAAAUAAAAUCAUUAGUCCCUAAAUGAUUCACCCUACAAAUAAAAUCAUAUUUCUAAUAGAAUUCAAAAUAUUCUGUUUGUAGUGAUGUCAUGUUUUAAAGACAACAACCACUUUCUAAUAGUAGUUAUAUGUAAGAGUAUUAAUUCCAGAAAAUGUUAGUAAGAUGAAGAAUUAUCACUGGAGAUUUAAGACCUAAAUAUU
rnacentral:lncRNA from 1 species